CUGGAUCAAAGAGCUUUACUUGUAUAGCUCAUGAGGAUGAAAAUACAUCAGGUUCUAAAGUUGGUCGAAUUCAACUCUUCGAUAUGACACAUACAAAGAAGGAUGUCACUCCUAUGACUGUUGACGCUGCAGAAAUUAUGGAAAAAUUGAGGGAGAAAAAGGCGGAGCAUCAUGCUA